CCGGGCGGACCGGGAGGCGUCUCGCCCGGCUCGCCACCGGGACCGCCCGGCGGCGUCCCGCCCGGUCCGGGUCCGGGGCGCCCGGGC
rnacentral:tRNA from 1 species